GGUAGCGUGGCUUCGAGUGGUUCAAGGCGCUGGUUUUAGGCACCAGUUUUCUGGAGAGGCGUGGGUUCGAAUCCCACCGCUGCUG